UCUAUAGCUCAGUUGGCUAGAGCAGCUGAUUUGUAAUCAGCAGGUCGAGGGUUCGAGUCCCCCUGG
rnacentral:tRNA from 1 species